rnacentral:lncRNA from 1 species
GUCCAAGACUGGGUCCCUGAUUUCCCCUCCAGUGUUGCCACCCCAUGGCAGGGCUCUGGUGUGGCCCCACCCCUACUCUCUUCCCGAGGCUCAUUCCUGGCCACUGGGAACCCUGAACUCAGCUCUAGACGGCCUUGCUCAGCCCCCACGACUGUCCCACUCUGCCCUUUUCUCUCUGAGAGGCUAAAUGGGACGUUUGGAGAAGGCAGCCGGCCCUCCUGCCCCAAAAGAGAGGCUUCUGAGGGCUCAUUGCCAUCGCCAGGUGGUUGCAAGGGCAAAUUCCUCUGGAGGGAAGGAAGGAACAUGAGGAAGAGCCCCAGUCCAUACGGAAUGUGGAGGAUGGUCCCAAUCCCCCAGGAAGCGGAACUGGAGCUCAGCCAGCUCUACUUAAUGAAUUAAGUCUGAAGAAGGUAAGUACAGACACAUCAGCUGCAAAUCCAGAUCCUCUUCCUGCUCAUAUCAGCUUUUCCGAGAACAAAUUUGCAUCUGCUUGAUUCUGCUGCCAUCUACUGGGAAAAACAAAAACAAAAAUUAAACUACAGAGGGAGGAAAUAAACAUCCUCUCUAAUCUCAGUAUGCUUUGACCUACUCUGAAAUGUGGAAUUAAAC